GACGAACGCUGGCGGCGUGCUUAACACAUGCAAGUCGAACGGAAAGGCCCUGCUGUUGUGGGGUGCUCGAGUGGCGAACGGGUGAGUAACACGUGAGUAACCUGCCCUUGACUUUGGGAUAACUUCAGGAAACUGGGGCUAAUACCGGAUAGGAGCUCCUGCUGCAUGGUGGGGGUUGGAAAGUUUCGGCGGUUGGGGAUGGACUCGCGGCUUAUCAGCUUGUUGGUGGGGUAGUGGCUUACCAAGGCUUUGACGGGUAGCCGGCCUGAGAGGGUGACCGGCCACAUUGGGACUGAGAUACGGCCCAGACUCCUACGGGAGGCAGAAGUGGGGAAUAUUGCACAAUGGGCGGAAGCCUGAUGCAGCAACGCCGCGUGCGGGAGGACGGCCUUCGGGUUGUAAACCGCUUUCGCCUGUGACGAAGCGUGAGUGACGGUAAUGGGUAAAGAAGCACCGGCUAACUACGUG
rnacentral:rRNA from 1 species